GUUCCCGUAGCGGAGUGGUUACCGCGUGACUCUUAUAAGCUAAGGACUUCUUUAGUUUUCAUGGUAGAAAUGUCAAGGUCCGGGGUUCGACCCCCCGCGGGAACA
rfam:Villosiclava virens strain TV-8b Sca_3, whole genome shotgun sequence.